rnacentral:rRNA from 1 species
CCUACGGGUGGCAGCAGUCGGGAAUAUUGCGCAAUGGAGGAAACUCUGACGCAGUGACGCCGCGUAUAGGAAGAAGUUUUUCGGAAUGUAAACUAUUGUCGUUAGGGAAGAGAAAGGACAGUACCUAAGGAGGAAGCUCUGGCUAACUACGUGCCAGCAGCCGCGGCAAUACGGAGGGAGCGAGCGUUAUCCGGAAUUAUUGGGCGUAAAGGGUGCGUAGACGGGAAAACAAGUUAGUUGUGAAAGCCCUCGGCUUAACUGAGGAACUGCAACUAAAACUAUUUUUCUUGAGGGCGGGAGAGGUGAGUGGAAUUCCUGGUGUAGCGGUGAAAGGCGGAGAUAAUAGGAGGAACACCAGUGGCGAAGGCGACUUACUGGACUGUAACUGACGUUGAGGCACGAAAGUGUGGGGAGCAAACAGGAUUAGAUACCCUAGUAGUC